rnacentral:tRNA from 1 species
GAGAUUUAGCUCAGUGGUAGAGCGCUUGCCUAGCAAGCGCAAGGCCCUGGGUUCGAUCCCCAGCUCA